rnacentral:rRNA from 1 species
UACGAAGGGUGCAAGCGUUAAUCGGAAUUACUGGGCGUAAAGGGUGCGUAGGCGGUUCGUUAAGUCUGUCGUGAAAUCCCCGAGCUCAACUUGGGAAUUGCAAUGGAUACUGGCAAGCUGGAGUAUGGUAGAGGAAGGUGGAAUUCCCGGUGUAGCAGUGAAAUGCGUAGAGAUCGGGAGGAACACCAGUGGCGAAGGCGGCCUUCUGGACCAAUACUGACGCUCAUGCACGAAAGCGUGGGGAGCAAACAGG